rnacentral:rRNA from 1 species
GACGAACGCUGGCGGCGUGCUUAACACAUGCAAGUCGAACGGUAAGGCCCUGCCUUUGUGGGGUGCUCGAGUGGCGAACGGGUGAGUCACCCGUGAGUAACCUGCCCUUGACUUUGGGAUAACUUCAGGAAACUGGAGCUAAUACCGGAUCGGAGCUCCUGCUGCAUGGAGGGGGUUGGAAAGUUUCGGCGGGUGGGGAUGGACUCGCGGCUUAUCAGCUUGUUGGUGGGGUAGUGGCUUACCAAGGCUUUGACGGGUAGCCGGCCUGUGUGGGUGACCGGCGACAUGGGUACUGAGGUACGGCCCAGACGGCUACGGUAGGCAGCAGUGGGGAAUAUUGCACAAUGGGCGGAAGCCUGAUGCAGCGACGCCGCGGGCGGGAUGACGGCCUGCGGGUUGUAAACCGCUUCUGCCUGUGACGAAGCGUGAGUGACGGUAAUGGGUGAAGAAGCACCGGCUAACUACGUG